rnacentral:rRNA from 1 species
UCCCCCUUCCGGGGGCGGACCUGGUGCUGGGGCUCGGCCGUCCUCGUGGCGGCCGUCCCUUAAAUCCAGUGGCGGUCACGCCGUGAUCCCUUGCGUAGUACUACACCUCGCACCGGAGAGCGACGCGGCCCGCCGUAAAACACCCAAUUUUUCAAUGGUUGACCUCGGAUCAGGUAGGAAUACCCGCUGAACUUAAGCAUAUCAAUAAGCGGAGGAAAAGAAACCAACAGGGAUUGCCUUAGUAACGGCGAGUGAAGCGGCAACAGCUCAAAUUUGAAAUCUGGCCCUCGGGUCCGAGUUGUAAUUUGUAGAGGAUGCUUUUGGCAACGUGCUUUCCGAGUCCCCUGGAACGGGGCGCCAUAGAGGGUGAGAGCCCCGUCUGGUUACGCACCUAGCCUCUGUAAAGCUCCUUCGACGAGUCGAGUAGUUUGGGAAUGCUGCUCUAAAUGGGAGGUGUAUGUCUUCUAAAGCUAAAUACCGGCCAGAGACCGAUAGCGCACAAGUAGAGUGAUCGAAAGAUGAAAAGUACUCUGAAGAGAGAGUUAAAUAGCACGUGAAAUUGUUAAAGGGGAAGCGUUUAUGACCAGACUUGGGGCAGGUCGAUCAUCUGGCGUUCUCGCCAGUGCACUCGGCCGGCUCUAGGCCAGCAUCAGUUUGCGCCGGGGGAUAAAGGCUUCGGGAACGUAUCUCCCCCCGGGGAGUGUUAUAGACCGUUGCGUAAUACCCUGGUGCGGACUGAGGAACGCG